AGUUUUUUUAAAGAUGAACGUAGCACCUUGCAUCUAAGAAUGUUAAAAUAAUUAGCAAGUGUCAAGUAAACAAGCUGGAGAUCAAAAUGGUGCUGUAAGUUUUGCAAGUGUUAUUAGAGAAGGAAUGUGAGACUGACCUAUGAUCCAAGUACAUGGAAGCGUUUGGAGAAGAAAAAAUAACCAUUGGUGAUGUUAAUAUGAAGUCACAUAGUGGCUAACUGGCAAUGUCAAUGAAUGACAUUGAUCUCAUACCAGGUCUCUUUACUGUUUCCUAUUGGCCACAAGAAAUACUGAUGUCCUUUCUUCAGUUGUGCUCCAGAGAACGACCCAGAAGUCAUGUCGAGGAUGAGAAAUUGGGAUCUGCACUCUAGUCCCACCUUUUCUCACUUUUCACUGUGUAAAGCUCUCCAAGAUCCUGCCAAAGACACACAAGAUAAACAAAAACACAAAACAAGGGGGGAAUGCUGGGCCUAUGGGAGGUCUCCCAUCUCCUUUGUCCCUCUAUCCAGUGGAAUGACACCCACACUAGGGACUCCAAUUUUGCUCUGUGUCUGUUUUGCACGUUAGCAGAAUAAAUGCUGCUUAACUUUGCAGAGCUACUAAGAUUGGCAUAGCAAUUUCCAGAGCCACUGACAUAAGGGUCUGCAUUGCCCUAACUAUUUGUCUAGAAACCCUCCAGAGCUAAGUAAUAUCAUCUUCUAGCUUCAACUAUCUUAUCUGGAAGGUUAAGCCUGAUAAACCAUUACAUCAGGCUCUGUUGCCGCAGACUUCCUGUGGCUUGUGCCCAUGGAGACACCAGUAAAAAGCAAAGAGGGAAGGAGAGAGAGGUUCCUGCCUGGUCACUAUGACUUGGCUAGUUUUCAUACAGAAACUUGUGUCCAUCCAGUUUUCUCAGAACAGCCAGCCCCAUUGAAUUCCAGCACAGGGGCCCACUCAUUCUUGCCCUGGAUUCUGUACCCUCCACUGUGGUUUCCUCAAACCCUGCCCACACUCUGUAAAUACUGCCUUUGUUGAACUCUCCUCUAAUUCUUCAGGGAGAAUGUUGAGUUUCUUUCCUCCCAAGACUCAAAAUGACACAUAUGCGAAAUGCCUGCCUACGUAAAGAGACCCAGUCACAUGGAGAAUGUUUCAUGGACUCUUUCAUUAUGGUGAGCUUUGUAUUGCUAUGCUUUGGGAGGCUCUGUUUCUUGUCUGGAACAGGAAAUGUCCUGCAAAACUGAGAUUCUUUCUCAGCAUGUGUAGAGUGUUUGGAAGUUGAGUGCACAUUGCCUGGCUUCAGUCAGACCAGACAGGAUCUCGAAAAUGGAAAACAAAACAAAACAGCAACAACAACAAAACCAGAGGCUCUGAGACCACGAAUCACUCUUGCCUCUUGGAGGAUGGGUGCAGCUUAGCUUCUGGAAAAAACGAAUGUACUGGAAGAAUCAGUUGGCAAACUGUGGGCAUUCUCCCUGGCUCCUGGCAUAUUCUUGUCUCAGCAGCUUUUGCAGAGCUGAGAACAGCAACUUCUAGAAAGCGACAUCUCUGGCCUGACCUUCAGGAAGACUGAAGGUUGGUAAAGAGCGGAGAGAAGCUGAAGGCAGGCCACACACACAACCCUCCUGGACAGCAAGACGGUAGAAGGAGCAGUAUCCUGCAUGAAACCAUUUUCCUUAUAAAGAAACUGAACAGCAACUGUGUCCUAAAUACCAGUCAUCCUGGUUCUUUGCAUGUGUAAGCCAAGCCACUAACCUUGCUAAGUAUAAAGGUGUGUAAACAUUUUCUGUUACUCCGCAAAUUUAUCAUGUCCUCUCUAUAUGCUUUCUUAUGAAAAACUAUAUAGCUGAUAAAAAUUAAAUCUGUCAAUUUCA